CAGCAAGGGAUAUUGCGCAAUGGGCGAAAGCCUGACGCAGCAACGCCGCGUGGAGGACGAAGGCCUUCGGGUUGUAAACUCCUUUUCUGGGAGAAUAGAAAGGAAGGUACCCCAGGAAUAAGAUCCGGCUAACUACGUGCCAGCAGCCGCGGUAAAACGUAGGGAUCGAGCGUUAUCCGGAAUUACUGGGCGUAAAGCGCGUGCAGGCGGCUUGUUAAGUCGGACGUAAAAGCUCCUGGCCCAACUGGGAGAGGCCGUUCGAAACUAGCGAGCUAGAGGGUAGUAGAGGCAAGUGGAAUUCCCGGUGUAGUGGUGAAAUGCGUAGAUAUCGGGAGGAACACCAGAGGCGAAGGCGGCUUGCUGGGCUAGCCCUGACGCUAAGACGCGAAAGCCAGGGGAGAGAACGGGAUUAGAAACCCCGGUAUUCCUGGCUGUAAACGAUGUCAACUAGGUGCGUGGGGUAACCAAUCCCUGCGUGCUGCCGCCAACGCAGUAAGUUGACCGCCUGGGGAGUACGGCCGCAAGGCUA
rnacentral:rRNA from 1 species